ACCUCAGUGCCAGGGCACUGAGAAGAUAGCUUUUUAUUCUCUGGUUUUAAUAAGGUGAUACUUCCUUAAUUUUUAUCAGCCUCUUUUAAACUUGUAGGCUCUCUUCUUUUUCACUCAGCAGUAGUGCAUUAGCAUGUACUCUGCAGAGUGCACUGGGCCCUUUAAGAGAAGAAACCCUGCAAUUUUUUGAAAACAGCAUUUGGGACUCCCAAGGAAGGGCUCCACAGGAAGAUGGAGCAGUUGGUGCUGCAGAAAUGUAUGCUACAGCUGGAUAUAGAGAAGCUCUGGGCAGACCUGCGUCUACUGGCUGCCUCCGGAGGAACCAAAACAGUGGAUUGGGACAUCCAUCUUCCCAGGACCACUUUGUCCCUCAGGCAGACAAGAAAUGAGAAAGCAAGUCUAAAGCUGCACCAAAGCGACCCCCAAGGAGAACCACCCAGGACAUGGAACCUUUAUUGAACACUUUGAUUCUGAAAAACCAAGGAACACACAGAUGAAGAACGAGUGGGGAUCAAAUGCCAGCUUUUGACUGAUAAAGUCUGAUGUAGUGCAGAGUCUACGUGACCUUGCUUGUUUCCUGUCCACAGUCUCGUCCCAUGGAAACUUUAUUGUGUAGAACAGAAUGCUUUCCCAAGUCACUGCUGCCUGCAAGAUUUGGAAGAGAGGGUAACUAAGAAGGACCAGUGACUUUCACCCAAUACUACUGGUGAGUUCUCUCCUCCCCAGUGAGGAAUGCAGAUGAAUGUAGAAGGACCAGGAGUAUUUGAGGAAGAAGAGAUGGCAAGGAGACAGGAGUGUGUGGAAAAAGAACUAGCAUUCAUAGACAGCUGUUGUGGGAUGAGGCACUUCUACUCAGCACACCAGAAGGAGAUACAGCUUUGGCUCACACAUCAGAGGAAGUGAGGACAUUCUGUUCUGCUCUUGCUGAGAGCUGACUCUUAUUCUGCUUUCUGAUUACUAAAUGACCUCACAGUCUGUUAGCCUUCUCUGGCUACUUUAUCCUUAUUGGUCGACUGUAUAGAAUCACAUGCUUGGUGCUGCAAAUAAAAUUGCUAUUGGAUACUCA